rnacentral:rRNA from 1 species
AACUAACGCUGGCGGCGUGCCUAACACAUGCAAGUCGUACAAGAAAGGGGUUUCGGCCCUGAGUAGAGUGGCGCACGGGUGAGUAACGCGUAGGUGAUCUACCCGUGGGACGGGGAUAACUUACCGAAAGGUGAGCUAAUACUCGAUGUAGUCGAGAGACUAAAGUGAUGAUGAGUCACCCCAUGGAUGAGCCUGCGUCCCAUUAGCUAGUUGGUGGGGUAAUGGCCUACCAAGGCGACGAUGGGUAGCUGGUCUGAGAGGAUGGCCGGCCACACUGGAACUGGAACACGGUCCAUACUCCUACGGGAGGCAGCAGUGAGGAAUAUUGGACAAUGGGGGCAACCCUGAUCCAGCAACGCCGCGUGAGUGAUGAAGGCCUUCGGGUUGUAAAGCUCUGUUGAUGGGAAAGAAGUAAGUGACGGUACCCAUCGAGGAAGCACCGGCUAACUCCGUGCCAGCAGCCGCGGUAAUACGGAGGGUGCAAGCGUUGUUCGGAAUUACUGGGCGUAAAGGGGGCGUAGGGCGGUUUGUUAAGUCAAAUGUGAAAG